AACGAACGCUGGCGGCAUGCCUAACACAUGCAAGUCGAACGAGACCUUCGGGUCUAGUGGCGCACGGGUGCGUAACGCGUGCGAACCUGCCCUUAGGUUCGGAAUAACUCCCCGAAAGGGGUGCUAAUACCGGAUAAUGUCUUCGGACCAAAGAUUUAUCGCCUUUGGAUGGGCCCGCGUUGGAUUAGCUAGUUGGUAGGGUAAAAGCCUACCAAGGCGACGAUCCAUAGCUGGUCUGAGAGGAUGAUCAGCCACACUGGGACUGAGACACGGCCCAGUCUCCUACGGGAGGCAGCAGUGGGGAAUAUUGGACAAUGGGCGAAAGCCUGAUCCAGCAAUGCCGCGUGAGUGAUGAAGGCCUUAGGGUUGUAAAGCUCUUUUACCCGGGAUGAUAAUGACAGUACCGGGAGAAUAAGCUCCGGCUAACUCCGUG
rnacentral:rRNA from 1 species